rnacentral:piRNA from 1 species
UGAUCAAUGCUGCAGGCUUCUCAGGCCC